rnacentral:rRNA from 1 species
CCUACGGGAGGCAGCAGUGGGGAAUAUUGCACAAUGGGGGGAACCCUGAUGCAGCGACGCCGCGUGAGCGAUGAAGUAUCUCGGUAUGUAAAGCUCUAUUAGCAGGGAAGAAAACGACGGUACCCGACUAAGAAUCCCCGGCUAACUACGUGCCAGCAGCCGCGGUAAUACGUAGGGGGCAAGCGUUAUCCGGAUUUACUGGGUGUAAAGGGAGCGUAGACGGCUGUGCAAGUCAGUGGUGAAAGGCAUGGGUUCAACCUGUGGACUGCGUUGGAUACUGUGCGGCUAGAGAGUCGGAGAGGCAGGUGGAAUGCCUGGUGUAGCGGUGAAAUGCGUAGAGAUUAGACAGAACACCAAUGGCGAAGGCAGCUUGCUAAGCGAUGUCUGACGUUGAGGCUCGAAAGCGUGGGGAGCAAACAGGAUUAGAUACCCCGGUAGUC